AAAGCUAUACUUGAGGAAUAUUUCUAUUGUAACCGCAGAAAUUUCCCUGACCUUAUAGAGUUCCUGACACCAUGGGAAGGAGACAUAGCAUUCUUUCCUGAGCAUGAAGCCACUGAUGAUGUCGCUUUGCCACAAUGGCUACCUGCCGUUGAUGAGUAGCCUUCUCUUCCAUGGGAGAACAAGAAGAAGGUGCCAUGUGAGUGGU